AGCUCAGAUGGUAAAGCUUCUGCCUGCAAUGCAGGAGACCCAGGUUUGAUCCCUGG
rnacentral:tRNA from 1 species